AAAUUGAAGAGUUUGAUCAUGGCUCAGAUUGAACGCUGGCGGCAGGCCUAACACAUGCAAGUCGAGCGGCAGCGGG
rnacentral:rRNA from 2 species